GAGAUACACAGAAGAUAAUGAUUCCUUUUUGCCCCAACUCACGUGCUCCUCACGUGUACGUUUAAUGGGUGUUAUUGGUUUUGGAAGUUUAAUGGAAUUUGAUAGAAUGUAAAUCUGAAAAGAAAUCCAUUGUUAUUCAAUUGGGAUUUGAUGAAUGUGAAUUAAAAUCCAGUGUUAUUGGAUUAAGAAUUUGUUAAAUAUAUUUCAUAGGAAUUGAAAUCACCUGUUAUUCAAUAUCCAAAUGGAUUUUAUUGGAAUUGAGUUUUAAUGGAAUAUGAUGUACUUUUCAUAAAAAAAUAAGCCUAAACCAAAUUAUAGACUUUUUAUUUGGAUUUUGAAGUACUCACGUCUCUUCCUCCUCCGUUCUUCACCACCUCGCGACGUCUCUUCCGAGGGCACCAAACUUUUGCCGGAUCCCUAACCACUCGGCGUUUCUCUCCUCCUCCACCGUGCACCUCGUCUCGCAGUCCUACAAACCUUCGGCUGGAACCUCCGUGCACCACCGAUACCCAAAUCCUCUUUCUUCCUGUUAGACCUUUAUGUUCAUCAUUUUUUUCUUUUCUUCACACUCCAAUCUCAGAAUUUUCUCUUCACCUAAUUUUGAUUGUCUUCACACUCCAGUUUGCUAAAGUCUUUAGAUAAUCACACUUCAUUCUCAGAAUUAUGUAUAACAUGAAAAGGUUGGUGUUUGGUGACAGUUGAUCUUUGGUCUGAGAUAAUUAGAUCAGAGGAAGAAGACGGAGAUGGGUUCAGAGAAGUACCUCAGGUCGAGGUUUAUCAGAGAAGGAAGAAGCUUGAGAAGCCUUCUGCAGCCAAAAAUUUAGUGUGGUCGGUGAAAGGGGCUCGAACUAGUUUUAUCAAUGGACCCAAGAGAGAUAGCUGGACCCAAAAAACCUUCCUUUUUAGCACACCAUGUGUUCGUUGAAAUGUCAAGGGUUGAUAACUGUGGCAGAGGGAGGGAGAGUAUUGCAGUGGGAUUAGAAAAAAACUCCAAUAAAAAACCUUAACAAAAAUCAAAA